rnacentral:tRNA from 1 species
GGGAGUUUAGCUCAGCUGGGAGAGCGCUUGCCUUACAAGCAAGAUGUCACAGGUUCGAGCCCUGUAAUUCCCAUCA